rnacentral:rRNA from 1 species
GACGAACGCUGGCGGCGUGCUUAACACAUGCAAGUCGAACGAUGAAGAAGAUAAACGCGCACUUCGGUUCAAAUCUCACUUCGGAUUCGUGGCAGCCGGGUGAGUAACGCGUGAGCAACCUACCUCUUCCAAAGGGAUAGCCCCGGGAAACCGUGAUUAAAACCAUAUGACACAUUAAUAAGGCAUGUUAAGAAUGUUAAAGGUACGGCGGUAGGGGAUGGGCUCGCGUGCCAUUAACUAGUUGGGGAGGUAACGGACCCCCAAGGCGACGAUGGGGAACCGGGCUGAGAGAGAGAACCGUCACACUGGAACUGGGCCACAGUCCAAAAUCCUACGCGAGGCAGCAGUGGCGGAUAUAGCACUAUGGAGGGAAGUAUGAUGCCGCGCCGCCGCGUGAGCGAUGAAGGAAUUCGUGUCGUAAAGCUCUGUUCUAUGGGAAGCAAAUGACGGUACCAUAGGAGAAAGCACCGGCUAAAUACGUG